AGCAGCCGCGGUAAUUCCAGCUCCAAUAGCGUAUAUUAAAGUUGUUGCAGUUAAAAAGCUCGUAGUUGAAUUUCGAGAUCAAAUUGUUGGUCGUGCCUCGGUACGCACUGGCAUUAUUGAUUUCUCCCUUCUGAAGAACCUUGAUGUCAUUAAUUUGGUGUCUUGGGGAAUCAGGACCGUUACUUUGAAAAAAUUAGAGUGUUUAAAGCAGGCUCACGCUUGAAUACAUUAGCAUGGAAUAAUGAAAUAGGACGUUUGAUUCUAUUUUGUUGGUUUCUAGGAUCGACGUAAUGAUUAAUAGGGAUAGUUGGGGGCAUUAGUAUUCAAUUGUCAGAGGUGAAAUUCUUGGAUUUAUUGAAGACUAACUACUGCGAAAGCAUUUGCCAAGGAUGUUUUCAUUAAUCAAGAACGAAAGUUAGGGGAUCGAAGACGAUCAGAUACCGUCGUAGUCUUAACCAUAAACUAUGCCGACUAGGGAUCGGAUGAUGUUAAUUUUUUAAUGACUCAUUCGGCGCCUUACG
rnacentral:rRNA from 1 species